rnacentral:rRNA from 1 species
AGUGAACGCUGGCGGCGUGCUUGACACAUGCAAGUCGAACGAGAACGGAUUAUAGCUUGCUAUAAUUGUCAGCUAAGUGGCGCACGGGUGAGUAAUGUAUAGGUAAUAUGCCUCUUACUAAGGGAUAACAAAUGGAAACGUUUGCUAAUACCUUAUACUCCUUAUUAACAGAAGUUAAUAAGGGAAAGAUUUAUUGGUAAGAGAUUAGCCUGUAUUGUAUCAGCUAGUUGGUGGGGUAAUGGCUUACCAAGACUAUGACACAUAACUGGUUUGAGAGGAUGAUCCGUCACACUGGAACUGAGACACGGUCCAGACUCCUACGGGGGGCAGCAGUGGGGAAUAUUGAACAAUGGACGAAAGUCUGAUGCAGCAUCGCCGCGUGGAGGAUGACACAUUUCGGUGCGUAAACUCCUUUUAUAUGAGAAGAUAAUGACGGUAUUAUAUGAAUAAGCACCGGCUAACUCCGUGCCAGCAGCCGCCGUAAAAC